CCUAGCACAGCCAGCUGGCCUAACUGGAACCUGAACGGGGCCAGCAGUCCAGUGCUGUAGGUGUUCAUUGGUGCGAGGUGGCCGAUCGCUCACCACGAAGACACCGACAAUAGGUUCAUACCAUCGCUCUGUCAGGUGAAGUGCAUUCUGGGGGCAAUGCGUUUGGGACAUGCAGCCGUGGAUGGUUCCUCUGACCUGUACGAGGUCAAGAUGUGUUUAGGCAGUUCCCGCAACAUCACCCAGUCCAUUGCCCACGGACAGCCAUGGUGACUCACUCAGCGAGCCUCUCUCUCUCACAUCUCACCCCCUCCCUCCUCCGGACGCCUGAGUGCCACCCCGCGUUGUUCCUGAAGUCCGCCCACUGAACCAGCCCGGCAAUGUGUGCGGACGUGGAGAAAGAAUUGGAAUAGCAAUGGCAUACAAAGAGAGUCAAAGGCUGACUGGACAGUAUCCUUCUAAGAGGACAAGAGGCAGCUUCUCCGGAGCGCUGGGAUUAACGGGGGUGAUUAAAGUUAGGGCUACCAUCGGUCAGGGGUAACAGAGCAAAACAACAUCAACAACAACAACAACAACAAAAUAAAAAUAGCAAGAGCCUUUGACAUUCCACUGUGUUCACGCCGGGGGAUGUUUUCCCAUCUAGAGAUUUUAAAUAUAGCCAAAAAUAAAAAGGCGACCCUCGAUUUCAACUGGGAAAUUCUGAAUACAAAUGUUACAUGAUAUCAUCAAU